UUGUGCCAUUUUGGACUUGGGUCGAACCGGGAACCCACUGGAUGACAUCACCCGUUGAGCCACCACCCG
rnacentral:sRNA from 1 species